CAGUAGCCGCGGGAAUACGUAGGGUGCAAGCGUUGAUCGGAAUUACUGGGCGUAAAGCGUGCGCAGGCGGUUUGUUAAGACAGAUGUGGAAUCCCCGGGCUCGACCUGGGAACUGCAUUUGUGACUGGCAAGCUAGAGUAUGGCAGAGGGGGGUGGAAUUCCGCGUGUAGCAGUGAAAUGCGUAGAUAUGCGGAGGAACACCGAUGGCGAAGGCAGCCCCCUGGGCCAAUACUGACGCUCAUGCACGAAAGCGUGGGGAGCAAACAGGAUUAGAUACCCCGGUAGUCCCUGUCUCUUAUAC
rnacentral:rRNA from 1 species